rnacentral:rRNA from 1 species
UACGAAGGGGGCUAGCGUUGCUCGGAAUCACUGGGCGUAAAGGGUGCGUAGGCGGGUCUUUAAGUCAGGGGUGAAAUCCUGGAGCUCAACUCCAGAACUGCCUUUGAUACUGAGGAUCUUGAGUUCGGGAGAGGUGAGUGGAACUGCGAGUGUAGAGGUGAAAAUUCGUAGAUAUUCGCAAGAACACCAGUGGCGAAGGCGGCUCACUGGCCCGAUACUGACGCUGAUGCACGAAAAGCGUGGGGGAGCAAACAGG